AUGAAGAAGAGAAAAAGAGGGAAGGUUGUGAGGUCGGGAUGUCCGACCCACCUUUACAUCACCCACAUAGAUGCAUGGUGGAGAGUCAAACGCUUCAACGACAACCACAACCACCCUCUAAUAAGAAAGCCGUCCUUGACAAAGUUCCUAUCAUCACAUAGGAACAUUCCCAAGGAUGAGCACGACUUCUUGAAGAUAUUGCAUGGAUGCAACAUAGAGACAGCAAGACAGAUGCAACUAAUGUCAUGGUUCUACGGGUCUCCUAAAGAUGUACCAUACACGACACAGGACAUCGCAAACCAGCAAGCUAAAUUCUGCAUGGAGUACCUCCAUGCUAAUGUGGAGAGCACAAUCUCGUACUUCCAAGAUAUGAUGCCACAGGAUCCAGAUUUCUAUUUGAGAAUAAAGCUUGAUGAUGAGGACAGAGUGGAAAAUUUGUUCUAG
rnacentral:rRNA from 1 species